GUGGGGAAUCUUAGACAAUGGGCGCAAGCCUGAUCUAGCCAUGCCGCGUGAGUGAUGAAGGCCCUAGGGUUGUAAAGCUCUUUCAGCUGGGAAGAUAAUGACGGUACCAGCAGAAGAAGCCCCGGCUAACUCCGUGCCAGCAGCCGCGGUAAUACGGAGGGGGCUAGCGUUGUUCGGAAUUACUGGGCGUAAAGCGCGCGUAGGCGGACUGAAAAGUUGGGGGUGAAAUCCCGGGGCUCAACCUCGGAACUGCCUUCAAAACUAUCAGUCUGGAGUUCGAGAGAGGUGAGUGGAAUUCCGAGUGUAGAGGUGAAAUUCGUAGAUAUUCGGAGGAACACCAGUGGCGAAGGCGGCUCACUGGCUCGAUACUGACGCUGAGGUGCGAAAGCGUGGGGAGCAAACAGGAUUAGAAACCCCUGUAGUCC
rnacentral:rRNA from 1 species